rnacentral:rRNA from 1 species
GACGAACGCUGGCGGCGUGCUUAACACAUGCAAGUCGAACGAGUGGCGAACGGGCGAGUAACACGUGGGUGAGCUGCUCGGCACUCCGGGAUAAGCCCGGGAAACAGGGUCUAAUACCGGUUAGUGUGGGAUGGGCCCGCGGCCGAUCAGAGUGCUGGUGGGGUAAUGGCUACCAAGGUGCGACGGGUAGCCGGCCUGAGAGGGUGGGCGGCAACAUUGGGACUGGGACACGGCCCAGACUCCUACGGGAGGCAGCAGUGGGGAAUAUUGGACAAUGGGCGAAAGCCUGAUCCAGCCAUGCCGGGUGUGUGAAGAAGGUCUUCGGAUUGUAAAGCACUUUAAGUUGGGAGGCGUUACCCACAGAAUAAGCACCGGCUAACUUCGUGCCAGCAGCCGCGGUAAUUC